rnacentral:rRNA from 1 species
GUUCAAGUCGAGCGAACAGAUGAAGUGCUUGCACUUCUGACGUUAGCGGCGAACGGGUGAGUAACACGUAAGGAAUCUACCUAUAAGCGGGGAUAACAUUCGGAAACGGGUGCUAAUACCGCAUAAUAUCUUCUUCCGCAUGGAAGAAGAUUGAAAGACGGCUCCUGCUGUCACUUAUAGAUGACCUUGCGGUGCAUUAGUUAGUUGGUGGGGUAAUGGCCUACCAAGACGAUGAUGCAUAGCCGACCUGAGAGGGUGAUCGGCCACAUUGGGACUGAGACACGGCCCAAACUCCUACGGGAGGCAGCAGUAGGGAAUCUUCCGCAAUGGGCGAAAGCCUGACGGAGCAAUGCCGCGUGAGUGAAGAAGGCCUUCGGGUCGUAAAACUCUGUUAUAAGAGAAGAACAAAUUGUAGAGUAACUGCUACAGUCUUGACGGUAUCUUAUCAGAAAGCCACGGCUAACUACGUG